rnacentral:lncRNA from 1 species
AGGACCCCUGCAAGAAAAAGUCAGGAAUGGAUUCCUGGAACCAAGAAUGUCCACAGGGCUCUUGAUGCUGCUUCCUCUACCCCUAUAUUUUAUAUAGUUCUGGAAGUACUCACUGCAGAGACAAACGGAAAUGAGUCCACUCUAGGAAGAAGAAUAACUGGAAGCUUGAAAGUUUUUCUGAAUGAGCUGUGUAAAUGAAACUUGGAAAUGUGGCUUCAGGAGAAAGAACCAAGUAGAAAACCCUGGUGGUGAAAGCAAGUUUUAACUGAAAUGAGAAGAACCUGAAAGUUACAUUACCAUGGCUUUUAUGAGUCAAAGAAGAGACAUUAUGGGUAUGUGAACUAAAAUAAUGACAUUUGGCAUGGGGAAAAUGAUAGAUACGGUAAUUUCAAUUUUCUGCAAGAUAGAGAACACACAGAGAAGUAGUGAUUGAUAUACAGUAUAAGAAUCCAUCCCCUACAAAGUGUGCAAAGGAAAUUAAUAUGACUGGCUAGACCCUGGAAAAGUUUAAUACUUUAAAUCACCAGUGUGAAAAAAAAAGGUGGGUAUGAAAAUUGGAAAAAUUGGAUAAUAAAUAGUAAACAAUG